AAUGGGCGCAAGCCUGACCCAGCAACGCCGCGUGAGGGAAGAAGGUUUUCGGAUUGUAAACCUCUGUCGCAAGGGACGAAGAAGUGACGGUACCUUGUAAGAAAGCCCCGGCUAACUACGUGCCAGCAGCCGCGGUAAUACGUAGGGGGCAAGCGUUGUCCGGAAUUACUGGGCGUAAAGGGUGCGUAGGCGGCUAUUUAAGUUGGAUGUGAAAUACCCGGGCUUAACUUGGGGGGUGCAUUCAAAACUGGGUGGCUAGAGUUCAGGAGAGGGAAGCGGAAUUCCUAGUGUAGCGGUGAAAUGCGUAGAUAUUAGGAGGAACACCAGUGGCGAAGGCGGCUUUCUGGACUGACACUGACGCUGAUGCACGAAAGCGUGGGGAGCAAA
rnacentral:rRNA from 1 species